UGGAACGAACGAGGCCGUAGCUCGAUUUCACCGGACUCGCUUUACAGUUAUACCACUUUGAACUAAGCAGCUCUUUUAUCGGUCGAUCUAAAAUGCAGACAGAGAAUUUUUAUACAACAACGAAAAGAAGAACGAAGGGGAAUCAUGAGGUGGUAUAGCUAAGAAUGAAGGUGGACGUAGAUACGCACCGGAAGAUGGUACGUAAAACUAAAGCGAAUACCGGUUACCGUUCCUGGAGAAAAACGUAGAAGGGAUAUCGUCGAAGGAGCUACAGAAGCAGAGACAUGGAAGGCGUAUAAGAAAACGGAAGAAGAAGAAGAAGAAGAAGAAGAAGAAGAAGGCCAAGAAGAGAAUAAAGAAGAAGAAAAAGAAGAAGAUGAAGAAGAAGAAGAAGGGGAGGUAAAGUAAGAUGGAGGAGAUGAAGAAGGAAGUUAUGUUCUCUAUCUUUCUCUCUUUCUCUCUUGGAUCGGCAAGGAGGAGGUCCAGAGCAGGCUCCAGAUCUGCAUAACCGGUAUAUACCGAGGGAACUUAGAGUACCUCGAGGCAGCAUCGAGCGUGUCCUCGAGUCGUCGCAAGUACGCUAUAUCGUUUGGCUCGUCCUUAUGUUGGAAGAAGUAUAGAAGGAUCUCGAUGCGGAGAGAAGUAAGAGAGAUAGAUAGAGAGAGAGAGAGAGAAAGAGAGAGAGAGAGAGAGAGAGAGAGAGAAAGGAAGGGGUGAGAGGGAGAGAAAGGAGGCUGGCCAUUCGUGUAGAGUGCCUUCGAGAAAGAGCACGCGUGCUGUAUUCAACCUCGCAAACUGGUAAAGAGAAAAGCGUAGGCGAGAGUACGCCAAGAGACCGAUGACAUCAUCUUGAUGUUCUCCUUCUCUCUCUCUUUUUCUCUCUCUCUCUCUCUCUCUCUCUCUCUCAAUCUUUCUCUCUCUCUGUCUCUCACUUAUACGAGUAUACUCUCGUCGACUUUGAGAAUCUUCAACCAACGAAUAUCGUAUAUAUUCUCUUUCUUUCUCUCUAUCUCUCGACUUAUAGCUUGGCUUCUGAAUCUAUGCGGAUGCUGGGAAGGAGCUGUGAGAUCUCGAACGAGUCUUUGAUACUGAGCAACGAAGACUCGAAGAGAAAGUCUCUUUCUCUCUUUUUUCUAUCUUAUGGACAACGGAAAAUCAUCAAACCGGAAAUGAUUAUAGUCUACGAUUAAGUACGCUGUGCGACGUAGUCACGGUUUAUAAAUUACGAUGGGAUCGUAGCUCGCAGCUUUCGCCAGUGGUCAUUUGGAUUACGAGAUUUCUUCGUCUGUUCGGUACAUACCUACCUACCUACGGCUCGUGGAGACUUCGAUACUCGAAUCGCCGCAACCGCAAUGUCGGCCUCUCAUCCAUGCAACAUCCUCGACCGCCAUUACUAAGGCAUGGCGGCGCCACGAUUCUCCAUGAAUUCGCGAGCCGCGAACUAGAGAGAAAUUGAUCGUUCAAUAAAAUCUAAAUUGCCUAUUACCAACUUUUUUACGCCACUCCCCUCGCCCAAUUUUUUUCUUUUUUUUUUAACCAGUUUUUACACCAAUAUCAUUCAGUUGAUAUCUUUUAUGACUUUAUUACCUCUUAUUUCUUUAUCUUUUUAAAAUCCAAGUUACAAGAAGAUGAUAGAGUCAUUCUCAUUCCUAGUUAUUAGACUUUCAAAUCUAGUCACGUGGAAAUGGAGAGUUCUAAGCUCGAAUUUCUUUGUCGGCUAUACAGAAAAAAAAUUAUACAGCAUGAAAUCAGAAUUUUCAAUAUUCCAAUCUGGCGCCACUGAUCGAACUUAUACGUAUAUCUAUGUAUAAGUUACGUAAGAUUGUGAUUAUGUUCUAUUAUAUCGACGUUAGAUGAUUUCGAAAGUUCGAGCUGAAGAAAGUAUAGAAUUAUUGUGAAAAGAUUUAGGAUAUAAGAAGUAUUUGAGAUUUUGAAAGAUCGAAAUUUUAUCUAAAAUAUAAAAUAAAUAUGCAUGUCAGCAAUGGAAUAUUAUUAUUUAUGGUUGCUUUUGCAUGAUUGUUAAUAAUUUACUUUAUCAAAUAGAAAAUUUUAUUAGAAAUGAAUAAAGAAGAUAUAAUAUACCGAAAUAAUUGUAAUUAACGAUCAUCUUUACGUGAUUGUUAAUAAGUAUAAUAUAUCCAAUAAUUUGUAUCUUUUUUAUUACAUAUAUGUAUAUAAAGAAUAUAUUAAGAAAUAUAUACUAGAGAA